AGUGAUCCUGCCUCCUCAGCGUCGCGAUUAGCUGGGUUUACAAGCGCAUGCCACCACGCCUGGCUUCAACAAACUUUUGUUAUUAAUUAGGACAGCAGGAGUACCUAGGAUUCUUUGGCGGCCAGUGAGGACUGGAAGAAGUGGAGAUUGGGUCACCAGGGAGUUGGGUUUUGCAAAGACUGCUAGGACAGGGUGGGACCUAUGGCAGGGACGGGCCCAACCCUCUUCCCCUGGACCACUUAUCCUCUUCUCUACCCCUGCUCAGCUUUGCUUGUGCCAUCUGCCCCCAUCGACCGGUACUGGACACCCUGGCCAUGCUGACUGCCCACCGUGCAGGCAAGAAACAUCUGUCCAGCUUGCAGCUUUUCUAUGGCAAGAAGCAGCCGGGAAAGGAAAGAAAGCAGAAUCCAAAACAUCAGAAUGAAUUGAGAAGGGAAGAAACCAAAGCUGAGGCUCCUCUGCUAACUCAGACACGACUUAUCACCCAGAGUGCUCUGCACAGAGCUCCCCACUAUAACAGUUGCUGCCGCCGGAAGUACAGACCAGAAGCCCCUGGUCCCUCUGUCUCCCUUUCCCCUAUGCCACCCUCAGAGGUCGAACUCCAAAGUGGGAAGAUCAGUAGGGAACCUGAACCUGCGGCUGGCCCACAGGCCGAGGAGUCAGCAACUGUCUCCGCCCCUGCACCCAUGAGCCCCACAAGAAGACGAGCCCUGGACCAUUAUCUCACCCUUCGAAGCUCUGGAUGGAUCCCAGAUGGACGAGGUCGAUGGGUAAAAGAUGAAAAUGUUGAGUUUGACUCUGAUGAGGAGGAACCACCUGAUCUCCCCUUGGACUGAUACCCUUUUCCCAUUCAUUCACAAAU
rnacentral:sRNA from 1 species